CUUCUGUUUCUGAGGUCCAAAACUCAAAUGUUCCUUAUUUCUUGUGGCUGCAUUGCACUUCUAGAUUACGUGGAAUUGGCAAUCAAUGGAUGUGUGCUGUCCCUGUGAUUAUCCCUCACUAAAGUCACUGGAAAGUCUGAUGAGCCUGACUGACAGACACUACAU